AUAUUGGUAAUGUGCGAAAGCGCGAACCAGCAACGCCGCGUGCACGAUGAAGGCCUUCGGGUCGUAAAGUGCUUUUAGAGAGGAUGAGGAAGGACAGUACUUUCUGGAUAAGCCUCGGCUAACUACGUGCCAGCAGCCGCGGUAAAACGUAGGAGGCUAGCGUUAUCCGGAUUUACUGGGCGUAAAGCGCAUGCAGGUGGUUUUGUAAGUUGGAUGUGAAAGCUCCUGGCUUAACUGGGAGAGGUCGUUCAAAACUACAAGACUUGAGAUUGGUAGAGGAAAAUGGAAUUCCGGGUGUAGUGGUGAAAUGCGUAGAUAUCCGGAGGAACACCAGUGGCGAAAGCGGUUUUCUGGACCAAUUCUGACACUCAGAUGCGAAAGCUAAGGUAGCAAACG
rnacentral:rRNA from 1 species